AGGACGAACGCUGGCGGCGUGCUUAACACAUGCAAGUCGAGCGGAAAGGCCCUUCGGGGUACUCGAGCGGCGAACGGGUGAGUAACACGUGAGUAAUCUGCCCCUAGCUCUGGGAUAGCUCCGGGAAGCCGGGAUUAAUACCGGAUACGACCACUUUAGACAUCUGUUGUGGUGGAAAGAAUUUUGGCUAGGGAUGAGCUCGCGGCCUAUCAGCUUGUUGGUGGGGUAAUGGCCUACCAAGGCGACGACGGGUA
rnacentral:rRNA from 1 species